GACAAGGAUAGAAGAGGCUCUCAGGCCUGUACAACAUGCAUGCAGUUAAGGCAUUGCCACCUACUUCGUGCAUCUAACCAUGGUUUAAA
rnacentral:ncRNA from 1 species